rnacentral:piRNA from 1 species
GACAGGAGACUGGCGGAGCGAGACCC